UUUUGCCGACCAACCAUGCGCUUCCAGAUUCAUCAGAAUUAUUCCACUGAGGUGGAGGCAGCCGUCAGCCGCCUAGUCAAUGUGUACCUGCAGGCCUCCUACACCUACCUCUCUCUGGGCUAUUUCGACCAUGAUGAUGUGGCUCUGGAAGGCGUGGGCCGCUUCUUCCGCGAAUUGGCCGAGUAGAAGCGCAAGGGCUACGAGCGUCUCCUGAAGAUGCAAAACCAGCGUGGUGGCCGCACUCUCCUCCAGGACAUCAAGAAGCCAGCUCAAGAUGAGUAGGGUAAAAUCCUGGACGCUAUGGAAGCCGCCAUGGCCCUGGAGAAAAAUCUGAACCAGGCCCUUUUGGAUCUUCAUGCCCUGGGUUCUGCCCCCAUGGACUCCCAUCUGUGUGACUUCCUGGAGAGUCACUUCCUAGAUGAAGAAGUGAAAAUCAUCAAGAAGAUGAAUGACCACCUGAUCAAGCUCUGCAGGCUGGCCGGCCCACAGGCUGGGCUGGGCGAGUAUCUCUUCCAAAGGCUCACUCUCAAGCACGGCUAAGAGCCUACUGAGCCCAGUGACUUCUAAAGGGCCCUUGCAAAAUAACAGGGCUUCUGCCUAAGCCUCUCCCUCCAGCCACUAGGCAGCUUUCUAACUACCCUAACAAGCCUUGGACCAAAUGGAAAUAAAGCUAUUUGAAACAAAAAAAAAA